GAAGGAUUCUACAUACGAUCAGGGAUAAUCAUUAUAUCAGAGAAAGCCACAAUUAGAGAUGGAACAGUUAUAUGAACUAGAAAAGCAUCUCUUGUUGAACUAGUGGAAAUCCAAAUCUCAACUUGAAGAAGGUCAAGGGUGAUGACCUAUUUCCCACAAAAACCUAGCACAUUCAGCUCCGGAAGAAGCUUUCUAUGCUCAUGUGAAAAGAGCAAGUAUAAUCGAGACACGUGUCUAAAAUAAAACUAAAGUUGCUGCCUAGUUCAUGUUCUAAGAG
rnacentral:misc_RNA from 1 species